GGAGUAGCAAUACAACUGGUGGCGACCGGCGCACGGGUGAGUAACGCGUAUGCAACCUACCUAUCAGAGGGGAAUAACCCGGCGAAAGUCGGACUAAUACCGCAUAAAACAGGGACACCGCAUGGUGAUAUUUGUUAAAGAAAUUCGCUGAUAGAUGGGCAUGCGUUCCAUUAGGUAGUUGGUGAGGUAACGGCUCACCAAGCCGACGAUGGAUAGGGGAACUGAGAGGUUGGUCCCCCACACUGGUACUGAGACACGGACCAGACUCCUACGGGAGGCAGCAGUGAGGAAUAUUGGUCAAUGGGCGAGAGCCUGAACCAGCCAAGUCGCGUGAAGGAAGAAGGAUCUAUGGUUCGUAAACUUCUUUUGCAGGGGAAUAAAGUGCAGGACGUGUCCUGUUUUGUAUGUACCCUGAGAAUAAGGAUCGGCUAACUCCGUGCCAGCAGCCGCGGUAAUACGGAGGAUCCGAGCGUUAUCCGGAUUUAUUGGGUUUAAAGGGUGCGUAGGUGGUUUGAUAAGUCAGCGGUGAAAGUUUGCAGCUUAACUGUAAAAAUGCCGUUGAAACUGUCGGACUUGAGUGUAAAUGAGGUAGGCGGAAUGCGUGGUGUAGCGGUGAAAUGCUUAGAUAUCACGAAGAACUCCGAUUG
rnacentral:rRNA from 1 species